rnacentral:lncRNA from 1 species
GUGGUUUCUGAAAACCAUAUGAUCGUGGCAUCUAACAGCGUUUUCUUUCGCUUUUGGGCACCCCAAGCGUUCAAGAUCAAUAUAAGGAAUGUCGAACUUUAUACAGAGAUCUUUUUCAAUGUGCCCCCUUAUAGCAAAUAACGUCUUUAAUGGACUUUAGGACCUGCAUUUCAAAUGGAAGCUCACGAUAUUCGUACCAAAUGGUUGUCGGGGUCUCGGUCUGGGGUGCAUAAUCAAUUCUCAACUAUGCAGUCUCCGCUGGAAAUUGAUUGUUUUCUUCUCGGCCGGUGAAAGCUGAUAGUAUUUAUGCUCAGGAUUAGUUGUAAAAAAUUAUACGUAAAUGUAAAUCACUUUUAAAACCACUUUUAAAUGUAAAUCCUUCGAUGUCCAUUAUAGCAACUAUAAAUCAAUUAUAAAUAAUUAUUAGAUAGUCACAUUAAUCGUUAUAAUGUUACGCGCCGUCUCACUAAGCGACAGGUGUUCGGUGGCCAGCGAUCAGAUGCGUUUGGCGAGCGAUCGUCUAGUGGUAAUUGUUUUAUUCUAUAGAAAGAUCCAGUGAACUAAGGUAAAUCUAACACUAUUUAUUCAAUUAACAACAACAAUUACACGACAAUACAGGAGUAAACAUCCACGUAUAUAACCUAACCUGUAUGCAGAUCAAUACGAUAAUAAUAGGCGACACCAAAUUACACUACUCGACCUCCAACUCUCCCGGAGCUAGAACAAGGAUAAAGAGAAUAAUUACCUCAGUGGUAGCAGCUCCGCAGAUCAGCUGUAGUUGGCAGGGAAAACUGAUUCUCGUGGCAGCAAAGGAAGUGUAGUCGUUCGCUAAACAGAUCGUUCUAAGGAAGAGUGAGCGGAGAGUGGUCGGACGCUUACGAUCCACACUUGCAGACAUUGGGACUCUGCUUAUGACGCUUUUUUUAGCAUGCCCCGUGGUAUGUGAUUGGACCCUUCCGGAUCCCAUCUUAGAAGUUUCCCCAUCUCUGAUGUCAGAGACGUGCACCUCUCAUCCUAUAGGAUCAAGACCCUUCCAAUCUCCCCUUAGAUUUUUUUCUUGUUUCUUCAUUAUGUCAGUCCAUACCAGCAAUCAUAAUCUAUUAAUCAUAAUCAAUGAUAUUUUCUGAAGGCGACUCGUUCUAAGUCGCCUGGUAGUUACAUUCCUUCCUCUCCGG